rnacentral:misc_RNA from 1 species
AAAUAGUGAAUUUCCAUUCCAGUUUGUGUGUUAGGACUGAGAUAUCGAUCCACGAAUGGAAAAUGAAGAAGAAGCUAAGCCUCGGAGACAGAGACAUCAAUCAAGCAACGCUGAAAUUUUAAUCACUCAACCAGAACUCUAUCCACCGUCCAUGUGUCCCGAGCCCACACCUGACCCAGAUGAACCCAAUCUCACGGAGUCCAAACCCGCCUUGAAACAUACCCAGAUCUUCAAGGCUCUGGAAGUCGUCGAGAGGGAUUCACUGGCCAUCGCCGAAAGCUUCACCAGUCUUUUCGCUUCUCUUCGCUUGGCUCUAUCCGAGGUUACUAGCAGCUCGGUUGAUCAUAUGAACUGUUUUGGUGACGCUGCCGGCCGUCUUCAAGAAUCGGUGCUUGAUGCAGCAACGAAGGGAAAUCGGUAUAUAAAUUCGUGUCUCAGAUUAAACGAGGAAAUUAAGGGUAUUGAUAGCUUAGCUGCACAACUAAAAGUCCUGAGGAGAAAUGUGGAUGCGCUGGACACAGCUGUGAACAGGCUUCUCCGUUUUCCAUGAUGCAGAGCUGCUCAACUGAUUAGUUGUCAUUUGGGACUUCUAAUACAACUUCACUUGUAUCCAGUGCUACUUUUGUUUGAGAAGUUUCAAGCUGCCUGUUAAUAACGUAGUUUUUUUAGAACUCAGGCUGAACUUCUGAACAUAUCGCUGAACUAUCUCCACAGCCGCUCCAAAUAUAGGUUCAAGAACAACUGUUUUGUACCAUAGGAUUUAAAGCAUGCACUUUUUUUUCUGCCCAGUGAUUGUAUUGGCAUUCUGGAGUUGGCCUUUUCAAUAGUUGUAGAAAAAUUGAAGGUAACACACCUGGUAUCAUUGAUUACUAAAAGCUGCAUUAACCUAUAUUGACAAUCAUGUACGAAAAUAGCGAAAUCUAUGCAAUGUUGGAUUUUUGCAGUCACUGCAAAAA